AUUGAACGCUGGCGGCAUGCUUUACACAUGCAAGUCGAACGGUAACAGGCCGCAAGGUGCUGACGAGUGGCGAACGGGUGAGUAAUGCAUCGGAACGUGCCCAGUCGUGGGGGAUAACGCAGCGAAAGCUGCGCUAAUACCGCAUACGAUCUAUGGAUGAAAGCGGGGGACCGUAAGGCCUCGCGCGAUUGGAGCGGCAGAUGUCAGAUUAGGUGGUUGGUGGGGUAAAGGCUCACCAAGCCAACGGUCUGUAGCUGGUCUGAGAGGACGACCAGCCACACUGGGACUGAGACACGGCCCAGACUCCUACGGGAGGCAGCAGUGGGGAAUUUUGGACAAUGGGCGCAAGCCUGAUCCAGCAAUGCCGCGUGCAGGAAGAAGGCCUUCGGGUUGUAAACUGCUUUUGUACGGAACGAAACGGCUCUCGCCAAUACUGGGGGCUAAUGACGGUACCGUAAGAAUAAGCACCGGCUAACUACGUGCCAGCAGCCGCCGUAAAAC
rnacentral:rRNA from 1 species